GGGCGCGUCGCAUAGCGGCAAUUGCAUCUGGCUGUAGACCAGACGCCUUUAUGGCUACGGGGGUUCGAGUCCCUCCGCGCCCA
rnacentral:tRNA from 1 species